rnacentral:sRNA from 1 species
ACAAAAUGAUUACUAUUUUUUCAACAGAUACAUAAUACUUUUUAAAAAGAGAGGUUAAUUAAAAUACCUUGACCGGCGCCGGAACUACUUGAGAUUAUGGAAGCUAGUGCAAACGGAAUACUGAAUGUAAUCUAUAAAAAUACAAAAAAAAAAUAGAUUAUUAAUGUUAACAAAU